rnacentral:antisense_RNA from 1 species
CAGUUUUGGUGACUGCGCUCCCUUUAAGCCAGUUACCUCGGUUCAUAGAGCGCCAACUCUACUGAACCUUUCGAAAAAACCGCCCGCCAAGGCGGUUUUUUUCGU